rnacentral:rRNA from 1 species
GAUGAACGCUGGCGGCGUGCCUAAUACAUGCAAGUCUAGCGAACGGACGAGAAGCUUGCUUCUCUGAUGUUAGCGGCGGACGGGUGAGUAACACGUGGAUAACCUACCUAUAAGACUGGGAUAACUUCGGGAAACCGGAGCUAAUACCGGAUAAUAUUUUGAACCUCAUGGUUCAAAAGUGAAAGACGGUCUUGCUGUCACUUAUAGAUGGAUCCGCGCUGCAUUAGCUAGUUGGUAAGGUAACGGCUUACCAAGGCAACGAUGCAUAGCCGACCUGAGAGGGUGAUCGGCCACACUGGAACUGAGACACGGUCCAGACUCCUACGGGAGGCAGCAGUAGGGAAUCUUCCGCAAUGGGCGAAAGCCUGACGGAGCAACGCCGCGUGAGUGAUGAAGGUCUUCGGAUCGUAAAACUCUGUUAUUAGGGAAGAACAUAUGUGUAAGUAACUGUGCACAUCUUGACGGUACCUAAUCAGAAAGCCACGGCUAACUACGUG